CUCAAUGUGUGUAUGGAUUCCGUAGGCAGGGACUGGGAGUCUAUGCCCUGCUGCAAAAGGGUGGACUGAGAGUCCAUGCUCACGAAAUCCAUCCGCCCGCUGAG